CACAUCCCAGUCCGUACUGCCCAAAGUUACGCAGGUGUCCACAUCCCAGUCCGUACUUCCCAAAGUUACGCAUGCGUCCACAUCCCAGUCCGUCCUGCCCAAAGUUACGCAUGCGUCCACAUCCCAGUCCGUCUUGCCCAAAGUUAUACAUGCGUCCACAUCCCAGUCCGUACUGCCCAAAGUUACGCAUGCGUCCACAUCCCAGUCCGUACUGCCCAAAGUUACGCAUGCGUCCACAUCCCAGUCCGUACUGCCCAAAGUUACGCAUGCGUCCACAUCCCAGUCCGUACUGCCCAAAGUUAUGCAAGCGUCCACAUCCCAGUCCGUACUGCCCAAAGAUACGCAUGCGUCCACAUCCCAGUCUGUACUGCCCAAAGUUACGCAUGCGUCCACAUCCCAGUCCGUCCUGCCCAAAGUUACGCAUGCGUCCACAUCCCAGUCCGUCCUGCCCAAAGUUACGCAUGCGUCCACAUCCCAGUCCGUCUUGCCCAAAGUUAUACAUGCGUCCACAUCCCAGUCCGUACUGCCCAAAGUUACGCAAGCGUCCACAUCCCAGUCCGUACUGCCCAAAGAUACGCAUGCGUCCACAUCCCAGUCUGUACUGCCCAAAGUUACGCAUGCGUCCACAUCCCAGUCCGUCCUGCCCAAAGUUACGCAUGCGUCCACAUCCCAGUCCGUACUGCCCAAAGUUACGCAUGCGUCCACAUCCCAGUCCGUCCUGCCCAAAGUUACGCAUGCGUCCACAUCCCAGUCCGUCCUGCCCAAAGUUACGCAUGCGUCCACAUCCCAGUCCGUACUGCCCAGUUACGCAUGCGUCCACAUCCCAGUCCGUACUGCCCAAAGUUACGCAUGUGUCAGUUUUGUAGCUAAACAACCAACCCGUCUAUAUGACUGAAGAGUGAGACAGACAGCUGUUUAAAUGACAUCACUGGAGACUGAGACAGGUUUAAAUGACAUCACUGGAGAGUGAGACAGGUUUAAAUGACAUCACUGGAGAGUGAGACAGGUUUAAAAUGUCAUCACUGGAGAGUGAGACAUGUUUAAAUGACAUCACUGGAGAGUGAGACAGGUUUAAAAUGACAUCACUGGAGAGUGAGACAGGUUUAAAUGACAUCACUGGAGAGUGAUAGGACUAAUGCCGCGUUCAAAACUACUGGGAAUUCGUAACAAUACGAGGUCAAACCAUAACGUCAGUGAUCUUCAGGUCGGAAAGUCGGAGCUCUAGAAAGAGGCCCGAGUUGGAUGACCGUUCAAAUCGAUUUCUCCCCAGUCAGAUCUGGUUUAUCGAAUUCCCAGUUGUUUUGAACGCAGCAAAAGUAACAUUGACCUGGCAGGGUUGGUACAUAUUCUACUAACCCUGACCCAGCUUUGAAAAACCCUAACCCUCGCCCAUUUCUGAACAGUCCUAACCCUAACCCUGACCCAGCUCUGAACGGUCCCAACCCUAACCCAGCUCUGAACGGUCUUAACCCUAACCCUGACCCAGCUCUGAACGGUCCCAACCCUAACCCUAACCCAGCUCUGAACGGUCCCGACCCUAACCCAGCUCUGAAUGGUCCUAACCCUAACCCAGCUCUGAACGGUCCCGACACUAACCCUAACCCAGCUCUGAACGGUCCCAACCAUAACCCAGCUCUGAACGGUCCCAACCCUAACCCUGACCCAGCUCUGAACGGUCUCAACCCUAACCCUAACCCAGCUCUGAACGGUCCCAACCCUGACCCAGCUCUGAACGGUCCCGACCCUGACCAUGAACCCAGCUCUGAACGGUCCCGACCCUAACCCUGACCCAGCUCUGAACGGUCCCGACCCUAACCCUGACCCAGCUCUGAACGGUCCCAACCCUAACCCAGCUCUGAACGGUCCCAACCCUAACCCUAAGCCAGCUCUGAAUGUUCUUAAUCCUAACCCAGCUCUGAACGGUCCCAACCCUAACCCUAAGCCAGCUCUGAACGGUCCUAACCCUAACCCAGCUCUGAACGGUCCCAACCCUAACCCAGCUCUGAACGGUC
rnacentral:lncRNA from 1 species